CAGCAGCCACGGUAAUACGGAGGGGGCUAGCGUUGUUCGGAAUUACUGGGCGUAAAGCGCACGUAGGCGGCUUGGUAAGUUAGAGGUGAAAGCCCGGAGCUCAACUCCGGAAUUGCCUUUAAGACUGCCGAGCUAGCAGGUGAGAGAGGUAAGUGGAAUUCCGAGUGUAGAGGUGAAAUUCGUAGAUAUUCGGAAGAACACCAGUGGCGAAGGCGGCUUACUGGCUCAUACUGGACGCUGAGGUGCGAAAGCGUGGGGAGCAAACAGGAUUAGAUACCCGCGUAGUCCCUGUCUCUUAUAA
rnacentral:rRNA from 1 species